UGAAACGCUGCUGUAGAAUGACCCCAGAGGAAGGGGGGGGGCAGCUAAAGGCCAGAGAUGGGGACCCAGGACAGAAUGUGCUAAGAAGUGUGAUCACAUCUCAGACUCAAGAGCAUUUACAACAAGAUUUGCAAAUGUACCCAGGAUAAGACUCUGCAUUUCCACCUCACUUCUUUCCUGACACAAGAGCUUAUUGAAAGCAAUUUCCAGUCCUCUCCCCGUUCUUUGAUGGCAGAAGUCGCAUUGUGUUUCUUUUAGGUACACAUCUCAGCAGCUUCUGCUUCCCUCUUCUGUGAAAAACACCAUCAGCACAGUCACAUCCACUAAAAAUAAAA